GGCGGUCUCCUCCUAAAGAGUAACGGAGGAGCACGAAGGUUGGCUAAUCCUGGUCGGACAUCAGGAGGUUAGUGCAAUGGCAUAAGCCAGCUUGACUGCGAGCGUGACGGCGCGAGCAGGUGCGAAAGCAGGUCAUAGUGAUCCGGUGGUUCUGAAUGGAAGGGCCAUCGCUCAACGGAUAAAAGGUACUCCGGGGAUAACAGGCUGAUACCGCCCAAGAGUUCAUAUCGACGGCGGUGUUUGGCACCUCGAUGUCGGCUCAUCACAUCCUGGGGCUGAAGUAGGUCCCAAGGGUAUGGCUGUUCGCCAUUUAAAGUGGUACGCGAGCUGGGUUUAGAACGUCGUGAGACAGUUCGGUCCCUAUCUGCCGUGGGCGCUGGAGAACUGAGGGGGGCUGCUCCUAGUACGAGAGGACCGGAGUGGACGCAUCACUGGUGUUCGGGUUGUCAUGCCAAUGGCACUGCCCGGUAGCUAAAUGCGGAAGAGAUAAGUGCUGAAAGCAUCUAAGCACGAAACUUGCCCCGAGAUGAGUUCUCCCUGACUCCUUGAGAGUCCUGAAGGAACGUUGAAGACGACGACGUUGAUAGGCCGGGUGUGUAAGCGCAGCGAUGCGUUGAGCUAACCGGUACUAAUGAACCGUGAGG
rnacentral:rRNA from 1 species